AACGUAGGACACAAGCGUUAUCCGGAGUUACUGGGCGUAAAGGGCGUGUAGGCGGACGUGUAAGUCUAUUCUGAAAGCUCCUGGCUAAACUGGGAGAGGCGAAUGGAGACUGCAUAUCUAGAGUGAGGAAGAGGAAAGUGGAAUUCCGCGUGUAGUGGUGAAAUGCGUAGAGAUGCGGAGGAACACCAGUGGCGAAAGCGGCUCUCUGGGACGGUACU
rnacentral:rRNA from 1 species